rnacentral:rRNA from 1 species
AUGACCGUUCUUCAAGCAACGAGAGCAUCGAAAGGGAUCUCUGCAAACCGCAGCACGGUGGCCAGGGACGAGGCAUCUGCAGCAGCGACCGUGAAGCCAGGCCGGGAUAGGCCGGGGAGCCAGAGUCAAGGCCGGCGAAGCCGAACGACGCCGGCCCCCCACCUUCACCCAUCCCAGCUCCGAAGAUACCUCCAGAGCAGUAGCGAUAACAGCAGCAGCAGCCGGAUCGCUCACCCCGCCGGAGCAUCUGGCAGCCAACGGCGUCAGCGGGGCGAGCUCCUCGUCGACGUCAAUGCUGCAGACUUCAUCAGCGAGGGAAGCGCACGACACGGCCAGCGGCGGCUGCGAGGCCCGACAACGACGUCGGGAGCAAGCACCUCCUUGGAGCCCUGA